rnacentral:rRNA from 1 species
UACGUAGGUGGCAAGCGUUAUCCGGAAUUAUUGGGCGUAAAGAGCGCGCAGGUGGUUAAUUAAGUCUGAUGUGAAAGUCCACGGCUUAACCGUGGAGGGUCAUUGGAAACUGGUUGACUUGAGUGCAGAAGAGGGAAGUGGAAUUCCAUGUGUAGCGGUGAAAUGCGUAGAGAUAUGGAGGAACGCCAGUGGCGAAGGCGGCUUCCUGGUCUGCAACUGACACUGAGGCGCGAAAGCGUGGGGAGCAAACAGG